rnacentral:tRNA from 1 species
GGGCCGGUAGAUCAGUGGGAGAUCGCCCGCCUUGCACGCGGGAGGUCGCGGGUUCAAGUCCCGCCCGGUCCA